GUCCACUCCGAGCUAGAUCUCGACUCGCCAGACUUCUUGACGAUUCCGCUCGCUACGAUCGCGAGCUAUCGGAAAUUGAGCUGAAAUUAAUUUUCGUGGAACUCUCGGGACGGUUUUUUUCGUUACGUUCUUUGACCCGUUCCCGGGACGCGAGGGGGUGAGCCGAGAUUGCGGUCGCCGGAUAAGAUUCGAGUAUUUUGCUUCUGGUGUUAUUGGAAUCGUUUCGAAGGAAGAUAAAAGAAAUUGGGUCUGUAAUUUAUUGUCUCGUAUAUUUACGCCGUGUCAACUUUCAGCCUCGUGGCGUUACAAAAUAACGGGGUAGCGAUUGUAUGACGGGAAUUGAAAGCGUAAGAAAAUUAGUAUUAGAAGAGGGAAGAAUCGUAGGCGCUAAUGGUUGAAGAAUCUGGGCCUCCGAUUACGAAUAUGUUAAAAGGAAAAAAUCAUAUUUAACUUGGAGUAUGUCUAACGAAACCGGAAAGAGGAAGUUUCAAAUUCAUCUACGUCCUCAUUUAACAAAAAAUGAAAUCAGAAUCAAAGGCUCCACACCAGCCAAUCUAAUUAACAGUAUAAAUCACGAUACUUACUCCGCAAGCUCGAACACCUAAGAAUAAAAGAGUAGAUGGAACGCGGAGAUAGAGCGGAUUGAACAAGGUAUAAACAAAGGGAGGGAAGAAAGGAGGCUUUACUAAUGGCCCCGAGACGAGGGGUGUGCGUAGCCCUUGGGCCCAGAACGUGGCGGGACGUGAAAACAUCUCCAUUCCACGGGUCACGAGGGCCUUGGCUCGUGGAAUUCAUAAGAGAAUAAUGUCGGACGGUCGAAAAUUAAUUUAAUUUGUACUAGAAACCGACGAGGAGAAAGAGUCGGUUAACGAGAGAAAGGAGAGAAGAGGAUUGUUGCGAGAGGGAGAAGGAGGAAGGGUGCAGGGAAGUAGGUAGAAGGGAGAAUAGGCCCGCGUUCUUGGUCGAGGGCGCAGGUUAGGGCAGCAGAGGAGAGAGGGGGUAAAAUGGACCCCUGCUGGUUAAUAUAUAGCGGGCCAGUUGGUUCGAAAGGCGCUGCUCUGUCUCCGCGGCGGACUCCUUAGCGGGGCACUGAAACUUUACCUCCCAUAAUUGAUACGAAUGUCUUUUCAGGCCGCGCUCGAACAUCGCACGGCUAUUUAGUCGAGCUCCGUUUCGUCGAGUCGGGCCUCGUUUCUCUUUCUCAUUCUUCUCUUUCCUUUCCUACGAACGAUCCGACACGUCAAUUAUCAACGCGUCUCUGUUCACCGACUCGCGCGGCGCUCGCCACUUGACCCUUUCGGCAAUUAUCGACGCCCGUGACGAAUCUUCCCUUCUCUUGAAAUAUCGAUGCUGUAAUUGUAAGGAAAUUCGCGCGCGUUCCCGUAGUACCCACGCGAAUCGGAUGAGUAUCCGCGAAUCCGAACGCUGAUCGAAACCUCUCGAUAGACACGGCGAGGCUCGCUCGUGGCACGAAGAGGGCGAUCCGCUCGCAGAAGAAUUAAUUAGUCGAUCUCGCACGCUGGUGGGCCCGAAAUCGUCGUUUCCGUACCGUCCUCAGCGCCGGUAGAACGAGCCUCGGGUAAUUAGUAGGUACCUACCGAUCAACAUCUGCAAGGUGAACGAGCAUUACCAUGCUUAAUGAGUGGUGCACGGUCUGGCCGUGAAUCUUGCGGACGGUGUGCGGCUAUUUCACCUCGGCCGUGUUUCUAUCUCUACUCGAUCGGAUUCGUGAAGCGAGGAUGACCUCGAGUCGCGCGAAAAUUAGAUCCUGUUCACCUCGAAACUCGUCGGAACGAUUAUAAUCAUCACCUGAUACGUAAAUUUAAAAAAUCAGCUAAAAUUUUGAAACCUUUCAAUAUUCACCCUCGGAACGUCCAUUGGUCUACAAUGUCGAUUUUACCCUCGGUAUCAGGCUGUUCGAUCGUUAUCGUCGAAACAUCAGCUUCUUAGAAGAAGCUGCGAAUAAAAGAAUCGAGGGAAGAAUAGAGGUGGGAGAUCGUUGGUGAAUCGAAGAGGGGGUAGUCGGCGCGUAUAACUACCAGCGAAGUCAGAACCCCGGCGAGAUUACGAUCUAAGUAUCCCCAGAAACAAAUGCCGAAUGCAACUCGCCCAUUGCCGUGGCCCUUUGUCGGCUCUGCGAGCGGUGCCCUGUUCCCGGUACCCAACACCUGCACCACCUUCGGACCCCACGAUCUUCGUCGCGAAGCCACGCUCUCGGAAACGGACCGUGUGCGUGGCGUGGCCUGUCAUACAGGCCUGUUAUUGAUUGCUCAAUACGAGAAAGCGGCGCAAACCGCGAUCACCUCUCUUCUACACACCUUUGCCGUCCUCUCCCUUCCGCUUCUUUUUAUUCUUCAGAGUUGCUGUUUCUUCUGUUCCUCUUCCUCGAAGAAUUAUGAGGAUAUUAUUCGCGGCGCGGAUAAGGUAGGAUAGAGGGUGUUCAAAAAUAUUCUUAUUAAAAUUUAAUAUAAACAAAUUAUCAAUUUUAUACUCGCCACCGUAGAAUCAUCAUCGAGAGGCUAAACGACACGUGUGUCGCUAGUAAAUCAAAUUGGCAUCCUCCAGAGUUCUCGAGUGGUUCUUUUCAUCUCUCGAGUGGCUCUUUUACACUCGAUUAAGGAAAUGAAGCGCUCGAAUUCCCGAGACUCUCGAAGAAUACAUUCAAGCAGGUGAUUCACCCUCGGAAAAAAGACGCAUCACCGUUGACCUGCAGCGUCUUUGUACACGCCUCGAGAGAGCCAGCAGAGCUCGGAUUCAUGGGAAACUGUCGAAUUUCGAAGAGUGUUUAAUGAAAUCGUGUCCACGACAUUUCUUCGCGUGGGAGCUGCUGUUAGAGGCUGGAAAAAUUUUCCGGACGACCGGUUUCGCGUUCACUAGCUCCUUAGGCAGUCUUGGACGCAGGUAGGACGAGGGGUUAGAACUGGACAAUGGUUGGCAGCGGGAAGAGAAAUGGUUUUUUAACUCGUCCCGAUGCGACGACGUUUAUUCCCGACCGGGUAAUUUGUAUUUUUUCCCUCGCCAUAGGGGGUGGAGCGGGAAAAUUAAAUUUUUUCGGCUCGAGACGAGACCGAGCGUCGUUUGUCAUCGUUUAAAUAAUUCCCUUUGUUCGGGACGUUCUCUUCCUACUUCGUCCGAGUUGAAAUAUAAAUUCUAGUUUGAUCCUAUUAACUCGGAUAUGCCCACCGUUUUAUAUAUAUUAUAUCCUAUAGAAAUAUCUUUUUACUACGGUCACUUCACCCCUUAAAUUUCGAUCGAAGAUUUAUGAUCUAACUAGACGAUGCAUAAUACUUUAUGGCACCUUUCAAAUUUACGCCUCUAGUCUAUUCCUCUGAAAAGAUUCAUACACAUUCGAAUGGUUUCACGCUCGCCAUGCUGGAUUCGUAAUUUAAUAUCAUAGUCGUGUGGCGUUUGCUCGCUGGAAGAUCCAUUCGCGUGCCAACGCUUUAGACGUUUCCUCGUUUGCAUCGAUUUCUCUGCAGGUUGGCACACUUCUCUUUACGACGGUGACCUCUGUGACCUGGAAGAAUUCAGAGUCUCAGCUCUGCAAGAUAUUCAACUCGUACAGUCAUCCAAAAUUUGGUAAAAAUUUUUAUCAUCAAUAUGUAUCGAUCGCUAUCCAUCCCUAAUUUCACCGCCCCCGAAGGGCGAAGGAAGAGCAGCCACCGUUUGCCACGAGGAAGGUCCACGGAGGAUCGACGAAAAGGGUAAAAUAGUUGUACGCCGCGAUGGCUCGUAGAUUCAGCGAGGAAACGUGUCCUUGGCGAUGGUAGCGUGUUCGCAUAAACUCGGCCGGGUUCCUUCGUUCGGACACGGGUGGUUCUCUCGUGGUUGCCCACGUAGCAGCCACGUGAACAAAGGGUGGGAUACACCUACAUACGUUCUCAUCACGGAUUCGCCAGGACAAAACAAACCCGACACCGCGACGUGCCCCGGUUCGCUGUUCCUCGCGACGUUCGGGAGGGAAGGCUUGGUUCUGCGUUGCAACAGGGAGGACGGGAUGGAAGCGGAGGAGGCAAGGGAACGGGAUCAGGGAACAACGGAAGAGGGUGAAGAUGGAAGAGAGAGAAGAUAGCGGGGUGAUCUGUGAGGCCCGGUGUGUGGUACCCCUUUCGCGAACUGCUGCACGCUUUCGCAAAAGGGGGCUGCGAUCGAAAGGGGCCAUCGAACGAAAGCAACGACGGAGAAGGAGAUCAAGAGACACGGUAGAACGAGGGAGGAGUUAGCGGAUUAGAGCCAGUCAUCCGCGUCAAAGGCGACCGCCCAUGCGAUCGGGCCGCGAUAUCGAAGAUGGCAGAAUGAUCCGUUCACUGCUCGGCCCACCCCUGAGCCGAUCUCUUCUCCGCUGUUAAAAAGGGAUUCACGCAGAAAGAAUAAUUAAUCCUGCGCUGGCCCGGUACAGCGUUCCUGGUGCUUGUUCGUUUGUUGAUCGUCGACGAUGAUUGGUCGACCAAGCCUGCCCGUCGUUACGUCCACCUGGAUCACUGCUGGAUUAUGUCUCUGCCAGGUUAAUUACGGCGACAGAUUAUUUUUGGUAUUCCUGAUCCUCUUACAGGGAGUACUGUUUUUUUUUGAUUGAAUUCGGGGCUGUUGCGGAGAGGGUGCCUCUUAAGGAUCAGGGAAGAUAGAGAUAAGAUUGUGACAUUAAAUCGUCACCGUAACGCCAGGACAAAAAGAGAAACGUUGACACUUUGCGAUUUACUGUCACGUGGUAACGUAUCCUACGAAAAGAGACGCGGGUCGUCGGUGCAGUCGUUGGACGUCUCCGUCCCUGGCCAUGGUCGGGGAAUUCGAGACUGUUACAAUAGGGGGCGAGCCGCGGACAGGCUAUGGUGGCGCCUAUGCACUCCUGCGUUUCGUGAGAAAUAGAGACGAGGAAUAAAGGGGGUGAAGGGAGAGGAGGUACGAACGAGCCGCGACCCCAAAGCUGAACCCAUGGCAAGUCAUAUAACGAGUCGAGCCGCGAACGAAAAGGAGUCGACCGCUGUCGAGAAAAAAAAAAAGAAUUCUUCAACGCGAGAGCAAACACAAUUAGAGGCAGCCCUUCCGGCUCUGCCUGUUCUUCUCCCCUCGCGUUGGCCCGGCCCGAGUGUUUUACGUUUCGUAAGAAAAAGAAGAAGACGAAACUUCGAGGUGCUCGAUGCUGUUCCUUUUCGUUCGAGUGGCAACGGUAGGAAGAGACAAAAGGAGGAGACGAAGGCGAAGAGGACUCAAUCCUGCGCGGUGCGGCAAGCCGAGCUGCUAUAUAACCGACGAGGAAGGAGACGGUAAUAGCCAAUCACGCGGCGAACGCAAAAACCACGACGAGGAGCGUCGUAAAGCUCGCUAUGCUCUCUUCGUUUCAUCCUCGUUCCACCUGACGACGUUCGAGCCGGGAUGCAGAAGGAACGAACCGUUCGGGAGGGUUGCCCGCGAGAGGAUGCGUUCUCCCUCCGUUUCUCGUCGCCCGCUAGAGAUAUUAAUUAGAAUAAUUGCCGCUAACAGGCUCGUUAGCGUUGAACCGAGAUAGCAAACGAGCGCGCCUCGCACGCGAAAAUAAAAUGAGACGGCUCCCCGGGCGAAAGACCAGCCUGCCACGCGAGAUGAAAGAGGACGAGAGCACCAGCCGGCUCGCUUCUCCGCUGCUUACGGCAGAAGUACCUCAAUCAGGCUCGAGCUGCGUCAUUUGCAUAUUUCUUCGGGCUGGAUAUUCUUCCCCUUCGUUCCAUAGGGGAAAAUCAAAAGGGUGCUGAAUUAAUCCAGAAGUGUCGAUUGGAACUAAUUUAACCCCUUCGGACUCAGAUGUUCUUCAAAGAUGAAAUUUAAAACGUAGUACUUUUGCGACGACUCGAGCUAAUAGGGUGCCGUCCGCGCACCCUCGUGCUCCUCCGCGACGGGUACGUAGCCAACGACCUCCGGAUCGGUACGCUGUUCGCCGUCUGGUAGGAUUUUUUCUCGGAUACAAGGGAGAAGCAGAAAGAGAAUCGUUGGUUGGCCAGUCAGCAAUUCCGUCUUUAUUCCGCGAACGAGACCGGGGCCCUCCUAAUCAAUUCCAAUUAGAGAGCGGAAUAUUUGCGGGCCAAGCUGAGCGGAGCCCAUGGAAGGGACUAUUAGCAGUCUCUCUUACUACCGAGAGUCCCGAGCUGACUCUCGUUGGCCGUAAAUCAAGCACCGGCCCAUACAGAAUCCGCUUCACGGACAGACACGGAGAGACACGAGAUUCUGGUGUGCCGUUCGUACGUGUGGGUGUAACGUGGAUAACCAUGUGUGUGUAUCACAGAGCGAGGGAUGGAGAGAGGCGGUCGAUAGGGUGGAAGAAGGAUGAAGAGGAACGGCAACUUCGUACACGAGCUGGAUACAUUAAUCGUUGAUAGAAGAUCGAUUACAGGACACGUGACGAUCAACGAUCAGCAAUGUUUCUACUACAGGGUAGAAGACGAGACACAGGAAAAGGAACAUCCCUUUAACGCAAACAGCGACUACAGAUCCAGAAAGAAUAGACAUGACUUUGUUCUCGAGGAGUUAUGGUUUUAAGGGGGCAAAACACCUUCAGAUGAAGCAAGUCUGCAUGUAAGCAGCACAGACGGAUGUACCACGCAUCGCAUUCACAAAUGAAGACACAAUUUUGAUUUCUUUUGAUUUUUAUUCCUAUUUUUUUUAGAAAUCAUUCAAAA